UACGGGGGGGGGCAAGCGUUGUUCGGAAUUACUGGGCGUAAAGGGCUCGUAGGUGGCCAACUAAGUCGGACGUGAAAUCCCUCAGCUUAACUGGGGAACUGCGUCCGAUACUGGAUGGCUCGAGUUUGGGAGAGGGAUGCGGAAUUCCAGGUGUAGCGGUGAAAUGCGUAGAUAUGCGGAGGAACACCGAUGGCGAAGGCAAUCCCCUGGGCCUGUACUGACGCUCAUGCACGAAAGCGUGGGGAGCAAACAGG
rnacentral:rRNA from 1 species